AAAUUGAAGAGUUUGAUCAUGGCUCAGAUUGAACGCUGGCGGCAGGCCUAACACAUGCAAGUCGAACGGUAACAGGAAACAGCUUGCUGUUUCGCUGACGAGUGGCGGACGGGUGAGUAAUGUCUGGGAAACUGCCUGAUGGAGGGGGAUAACUACUGGAAACGGUAGCUAAUACCGCAUAACGUCGCAAGACCAAAGAGGGGGACCCUCGGGCCUCUUGCCAUCGGAUGUGCCCAGAUGGGA
rnacentral:rRNA from 1 species